rnacentral:rRNA from 1 species
AUGUGUGUUUCUAAUAUGAAGCAAGCUAUCAUGGAGAUUCACAUUUCAGUUGUCGCACUUCAAAGCUCUACAAUUACAACAUCUCAGUUCCUAGAGGAAAAAGGCAUGUACUCAGAUGAUGAAGUGCCUGAACAAGGCUACAGUGGCUACUCAGAUGAAAAUUCAGCCGAUGAUAUUCAUCAAGACAUGGAUGAGGACUAUGCUCACUAUGUCCGAUCCCCAUGA